ACUAAUAUGGCAGAAAAGUGCGAUGAAUUUAAGCUUCAUUAAUAAAGAACUCCUUUUUUUAGUA
rnacentral:tRNA from 1 species